rnacentral:rRNA from 1 species
UACAGAGGUCCCAAGCGUUGUUCGGAUUCAUUGGGCGUAAAGGGUGCGUAGGCGGCGCGGUAAGUCGGGUGUGAAAUCUCGGGGCUUAACCUCGAGCUGUCGGCGGAAACCAUCUGGCUAGAGUCCGGAAGAGGAGAAUGGAAUUCCCGGUGUAGCGGUGAAAUGCGCAGAUAUCGGGAAGAACACCCGUGGCGAAGGCGGUUCUCUGGGACGGUACUGACGCUGAGACGCGAAAGCGUGGGGAGCGAACAGG